rnacentral:lncRNA from 9 species
UGUGCUGAGUCUCAUUUUCCUGAGUCUCCUGGAUGCAAGAAGCUGAACAGAUGGGAGCUGUUGAUGUCACUGGAAAAGUCCUUUCCUAGGCUCCCCAACCCUACCCAAGAUCACUUGUCUUUGAGAUGAAUCUUUGUGGAGAGGCAUCCAGGGGCAGAAUUCUCUUGGAGCAUAGGAUCAGAAGAAAUGGAGUUUAUACAAUGUCUGUGACCAGGCACUGGAAAAGAUGCUUCUUGCUUGAAUGUGGCCCCUUGAGUUACUCACUUGGUAGCAAGUGAGUCUCCCAGCAAGGACCUGCUACUUUCAGAGUCAGAAGAACUGCAGAUUACCAACCCUGGAAAUUAAUGUGGAAUUGCCUGCCCAAUUCAGGCAGAGAAUCUCACAAUCCAAUCAUUGGUUGCCAGUAAGACGACAGGCCAGUCAAAACUGCAAGCAAUUCUGGAGGAGUGGUUGCCCAGAGGAAAUUCACCAUGCUGUUAUAAGAAGGGAGGAUUCAUGCUGGAGACAAUGCAUGGCUACCAUGUAUGGUAUCUAAUUGGAUCUUUCUGUCCCUCACCCAUCUUAUCAGGCAUCAAAAGCACUUGGGCUCACUGUCAAUGACUCAUGUUAUUCACGAAAGUGGAUCCUUUGCCUGGCUUGCUUCCCUGGGCUUCAAUCAACACCCUCUCUUCCAUCAAUAUGUGCUGUGCCAUUGAAAUAGUUUUGAUUAAAAG